CGCACAUUGCGCCCUUUGGUAUUCCAAAGGGCAUGCCUGUUCGAGCGUCAUUUGUACCCUCAAGCUUUGCUUGGUGUUGGGCGUUUUGUCUUUGCUCGCCAAAGACUCGCCUUAAAACGAUUGGCAGCCGACCUCUUGGUUUCGCAGCGCAGCACAAUUUUGCGCUUGCAAAUCAGCAAGUUGGCACUCCAUCAAGAACAUUUUCUUACGUUUGACCUCGGAUCAGGUAGGGAUACCCGCUGAACUUAA
rnacentral:misc_RNA from 1 species